AGCGAACGCUGGCGGCAGGCUUAACACAUGCAAGUCGAGCGGGCACUUUCGGGUGUCAGCGGCGGACGGGUGCGUAACGCGUGGGAACGUGCCCUCUGGUUCGGAAUAACUCAGGGAAACUUGAGCUAAUACCGGAUACGCCCUUUUGGGGAAAGGCUUGCUGCCGGAGGAUCGGCCCGCGUCUGAUUAGCUAGUUGGUGAGGUAACGGCUCACCAAGGCGACGAUCAGUAGCUGGUCUGAGAGGAUGAUCAGCCACACUGGGACUGAGACACGGCCCAGACCCCGCAGGGAGGCAGGAGGGGGGAAUAUUGGAACAGGGGCGCAAGCCGUAUCCAGCCCUGCCGGGGGAGUGAAGAAGGCCUUGGGGUUGUAAAGCUCUUUUAUCCGGGAAGAAAAUGCAGGUACCGGAGGAAAAAGCCCCGGCUAACUUCG
rnacentral:rRNA from 1 species